rnacentral:rRNA from 1 species
UUACCUCAGUAACGGCGAAGUGAAGCGGUAACAGCUCAAAUUUGAAAUCUGGCUCUUUUAGGGUCCGUGUUGUAAUUUGUAGAAGAUGCUUUGGGCGUGGCUCCGGUCUAAGUUCCUUGGAACAGGACGUCAUAGAGGGUGAGAAUCCCGUAUGUGACUGGUAGCUUUCGCCCGUGUAAAGCUCUUUCGACGAGUCGAGUUGUUUGGGAAUGCAGCUCAAAAUGGGUGGUAAAUUUCAUCUAAAGCUAAAUAUUGGCCAGAGACCGAUAGCGCACAAGUAGAGUGAUCGAAAGAUGAAAAGCACUUUGGAAAGAGAGUUAAACAGUACGUGAAAUUGUUGAAAGGGAAGCGCUUGCAACCAGACUCGCAGGCCGUCGAUCAUCCGGGGUUCUCCCCGGUGCACUCGGCGGUCUUCGGGCCAGCAUCGGUUUGGGUGGUGGGAUAAAGGCCUUGGGAAUGUAGCUUCUUUCGGGGAGUGUUAUAGCCCUCGGUGCAAUGCCGCCUACCCGGACCGAGGACCGCGCUUCGGCUAGGAUGCUGGCGUAAUGGUUGUAAGCGACCCGUCUUGAAACACGGACCAAGGAGUCUAACAUCUAUGCGAGUAUUUGGGUGUUAAACCCAUAUGCGUAAUGAAAGUGAACGGAGGUGAGAACCCUUAAGGGUGCAUCAUCGACCGAUCCUGAUGUCUUCGGAUGGAUUUGAGUAAGAGCAUAGCUGUUGGGACCCGAAAGAUGGUGAACUAUGCCUAAAUAGGGUGAAGCCAGAGGAAACUCUGGUGGAGGCUCGCAGCGGUUCUGACGUGCAAAUCGAUCGUCAAAUUUGGGUAUAGGGGCGAAAGACUAAUCGAACCAUCUAGUAGCUGGGUUCUGCG